GCAACUGAGGAGAUCAGUUAUCUUCAGCUGGGGAUGCUAAGCCUUAUUAUGCCUUCUUUUAAUGUUUAUCCAGAACGCUAUGAACUUUCAUUCUCCAAAGGCAGCAAUCAACGAAGAAAAAUCGAGUGGCAGCAAGCAGCUCUUAGCUAACUGCUUUCUCUGUUCAGCACAGGGGCUGGAUUCAGCAGAGAAAUGUUAUAGCUGUGUAACAUUGUGGUCAUGAAUUAAGAGGUGAAAAAAACGUAGAGAGCUGGAUGGAGGACUCGACUACCUCUGCACAACGGGGAGCACUGCUUAGGAGUUCCUGGAGCCACAGAUGCAAUGAGGUAAACUGAAGGAGGUGUAGGAAUGGCUCUCUUCGUCUUCCAGAGCUUUCCUAGUAAGUGUCUCCAAUAGAGGAUCUGCAGGGGGAGCAGUGUGUGUGAGCGGGAGGCAGCCUGGCUGAUGCAGAGUGCAGGAUGCCUUGGGGCCUGUUCUCAACUGAUCUCAAUUCUCCUUGCCGAAUUGAUGCCCUCACAGAGGAAUGGUGUCUUCUUCCCAUUGGUAUGUGAUGUGAGGUGCCAGGUUGACGACUGACAGCUGCACAGAGCUCAGAGAAGGGGCCUCUGCUUGGUUCGCUGAGUCGGAGCAGAGAGCCGAAAUAGCACUUUUCUGCUGCUCCCUCACUCAGUCCUAUGUACUCUUAGGGAUCUGCACAGGCUUGAAGUAGCAUCUUCGUGUACCAAUGGGAAGUGCUUUUGUGUAUUUGGUUUUAAUGGGAGACAGAGGCUCAGGG
rnacentral:lncRNA from 1 species